rnacentral:rRNA from 1 species
UACAGAGGUCUCAAGCGUUGUUCGGAUUCAUUGGGCGUAAAGGGUGCGUCGGUGGCGCCGUAAGUCAGGUGUGAAAUUUCGGAGCUUAACUCCGAAACUGCAUUUGAUACUGCGGUGCUUGAGGACUGGAGAGGAGACUGGAAUUCACGGUGUAGCAGUGAAAUGCGUAGAUAUCGUGAGGAAGACCAGUGGCGAAGGCGGGUCUCUGGACAGUUCCUGACACUGAGGCACGAAGGCCAGGGGAGCAAACGGG